rnacentral:miRNA from 1 species
AAUGGUAAGAGAUUGAAGUGACU